UGCCAGACUCCUACGGGAGGCAGCAGUGAGGAAUAUUGGUCAAUGGCCGGAAGGCUGAACCAGCCAAGUCGCGUGAGGGAAUAAGGCCCUAUGGGUCGUAAACCUCUUUUGUCAGGGAGCAAAGGCGUCCACGUGUGGACGAGAGGAGAGUACCUGAAGAAAAAGCAUCGGCUAACUCCGUGCCAGCAGCCGCGGUAAUACGGAGGAUGCGAGCGUUAUCCGGAUUUAUUGGGUUUAAAGGGUGCGCAGGCGGCACGGCAAGCCGGCGGUCAAAUCGCGGGGCUCAACCCCGCCCAGCCGUCGGAACUGCCGGGCUAGAGUGGGCGAGAAGUGCGCGGAAUGCGUGGUGUAGCGGUGAAAUGCAUAGAUAUCACGCAGAACUCCGAUUGCGAAGGCAGCGCACCGGCGCCCUACUGACGCUCAGGCACGAAAGCGUGGGUAUCGAACAGGAUUAGAUACCCUUGUA
rnacentral:rRNA from 1 species